GUCAGAGAUCAAAAACAUCCAAGGACUGUUUGCAUAUUCAUUAGGUCUAUUGACUGGAGGAAGUACGACCACUCUUUGCUCGACGGAAAGCAGCCCCACAUCAAACUGGUCUCCUUAUUCUCCUAGAUAUAGCCCCAUGUUGUUUGAAUCAAGUCAUGAUUGGAGAGAUUACAAGGUCACAAAUUGGAUUGGGAUAUAAGAAUUAGAAAGAGAGUACCUACCAGGUAACUCAUAUCCAUACAAAAUAUGUUUUGACAAAAGCAAACAGUGCAUAGAGAACAGAAAAAUCAAACGGCGAUUGGUCAAUGAUGGUACAACUCUGCAAGAAAAGAAAAGGAAGUUGCCUACAUUUUAUAAGAAAGAAGAUUGGGAGAACAACACUUCUGAAAAAUUUCAGAAAAAGUCUGAACAAGCAGUGAGAGCAGUCACAAGUGAAGGCUCAGUAUA